rnacentral:rRNA from 1 species
GAUGAACGCUGGCGGCGUGCCUAAUACAUGCAAGUCGAGCGAACAGACGAGGAGCUUGCUCCUCUGACGUUAGCGGCGGACGGGUGAGUAACACGUGGAUAACCUACCUAUAAGACUGGGAUAACUUCGGGAAACCGGAGCUAAUACCGGAUAAUAUAUUGAACCGCAUGGUUCAAUAGUGAAAGACGGUUUUGCUGUCACUUAUAGAUGGAUCCGCGCCGCAUUAGCUAGUUGGUAAGGUAACGGCUUACCAAGGCAACGAUGCGUAGCCGACCUGAGAGGGUGAUCGGCCACACUGGAACUUAGACACGGUCCAGACUCCUACGGGAGGCAGCAGUAGGGAAUCUUCCGCAAUGGGCGAAAGCUUGACGGAGCAAAGCCGCGUGAGUGAUGAAGGUCUUCGGAUCGUAAAACUCUGUUAUUAGGGAAGAACAAAUGUGUAAGUAACUAUGCACGUCUUGACGGUACCUAAUCAGAAAGCCACGGCUAACUACGUG